rnacentral:rRNA from 1 species
CCUACGAGUGUCAGCAGUGGGGAAUAUUGCACAAUGGGCGAAAGCCUGAUGCAGCAACGCCGCGUGAGUGAUGAAGGCCUUCGGGUCGUAAAACUCUGUCCUCAAGGAAGAUAAUGACGGUACUUGAGGAGGAAGCCCCGGCUAACUACUGGCCAGCAGCCGCGGUAAUACGUAGGGGGCUAGCGUUAUCCGGAUUUACUGGGGGUAAAGGGUGCGUAGGCGGUCUUUCAAGUCAGGAGUGAAAGGGUACGGCUCAACCGUAGGAAGCUAUUGAAACUUGGAGCAUUGAGUGCAGGAGAGGAGAGGGGAAUUACUAGUGUAGCGGGGAAAUGCGUAGAUAUUAGGAGGAACACCCGUUGCGAAGGCGGGUUUCUGGACUGUAACUGACGCUGAGGCACGAAAGCGUGGGGAGCAAACAGGAUUAGAUACCCUUGUAGUC